UAUCAUAGUGUGGCCAAGUCGGGUAAUAAUUUCCAUCAAUGCUUCCGGAUCUUCUUCAUCGAACUGACUCCAAUAUCCUUGUUGACUAUACGAAACGAAAAUGAAUAAUAUCACUUUUAACGAGAGUAUAUUUCGAUUAAAAUGAAAAUCUCGUUACUUAACGUCGUUUUAACUAUCAAAUUUACAACUUGUUGUCAUUUUAUAUAUACAUAAUAUUAAUAGAAUGGAAAGAUGUAACAACAACGUUUCUCGUCUCUUUAAUUUUAGAUACAGUGGAAUCGUUUUCUCUCAUUAAACGAUGUCUCAUUAAAUGGAACUAGGUUAAAUUUCUGACAUUGCCAGAUGGAUCUCCCGUUCACUUUAAAAAUCGAAAGAUCGGAAAAGACUUACGGUGCAGCAUUCGUGGAAAGAUUGGACGACACAAAAAGACCCACAACCAUUAAUAGCACGUAGAACGAUAUGAUUCCUUGCUGCAUCUUCGAUGUAUCUUUUAAACCUGGAAUUCAAAAAGAAAGAAGAAAGAAGAAUGAAAGUUGAAAAAAAGGAAGGCAAUGUUUAUACCACUUUUCUUUUCUCGCACUAUCUCGAAAGAAAAUGGACGCAUUCAGUGGGUAAAGCGACUAACAAACUAUUCAACCGACAAUCUAGGAAGGAAAGACCGAUCGUGGCCAACUUUUCGAGUAGAUUCCUCCGUUGUAUUGUUUCGAUACAUGUAUAUGCGACACGUUUAUUCGAAAGUAUACAUAAGGAAAUUCGAUCUUUAUGGAAAUGAAGAUCUGGAAGUUGGUAAUACACGUCUCAGAUUAUAACGACUCCUUUCCAUUUCUGAUAGUAUCGAUGUACGUGCAAUUAGUAUUUUAUUGGAAGGCAAUCACGAGUCGCUUUGAGCGUGCCGAAUGGCCGUAACACGGGAUAAUUGGAUUCAGCGCUUCCGAUAAUUGAUGUUGACGAUACGUUUUCACGCGUGUACUUACAUUCGUUAAGAACGAUUCAAUAUAUUUGGAUAUAUAUAUAUAUACAUACGAAAAUGUAUAAAUCUUUGAAAGAAUUACGAAAGAUGUUUUUAAAAAAAGAAAAGAAAGAGAAGAUGAGAAUUAAAUGUACUUAUUUGCCAGGAAGAAGGUGAAGAGAAGUAAAGAAUAUCUAUUGAAAAAAAAUUUUAUCACAUUGUACGGAUAAAAGAUUCGAUUAAUUGUUUAGUUUAUACAACAGUGAUCUAAUCUUUUGUUUCUUAUUUUUUUUUUUUAUCGUAUUUCGUAUUUUUCCUACUUGGUGAUUCCGUUUCCCCGUUCUUCGUACUCCACAUUCCGUAUCUCGUUUUCCGUUUUCCGUUUUCCGUUUUCCGCUUUCCGCUUUCCAUCCGAUGACUGAGCAACACUAUAUUCGCAACAAGGUGAAUCGCGGUUCGAUCGAGCAUGAAAAUUCAAGAAAUUGAAGACCAGCUGCGCGUUUCUCCACGAUUCUGAUUCCCUUAUCGGUUCGAUUAUGAUUUACGAAUUACGAGUGGUAAUUGGGAACGAUAAAGAGUUUAGUAUUUUUUUCCCCCUUCGACGUGAUUAAUAAUCGUUUCUUACGGACGAGGGAGACACAAGAAGAAUUUUUCGAAAGGAAAUGCGACAACGAACCCAAUUACUUGUCUAGAAACAAAUGUAACGAACGUGCUGCGAAUUAUUUUCAUAAUAUCACGAAUAUCGAAAGAAUUAUAUUUUAAAAACCGAAUCAAUGAAAUAAUCACCGAUCACUAAUUAUAAUAUUCUUUUUUUCAUAAAUA